GUACUCCUGCGGGAGGCAGCAGUGGGGAAUUUUGGACAAUGGGCGAAAGCCUGAUCCAGCAAUGCCGCGUGAGUGAAGAAGGCCUUCGGGUUGUAAAGCUCUUUUGUCAGGGAAGAAACGGUGAAAGCUAAUAUCUUUUGCUAAUGACGGUACCUGAAGAAUAAGCACCGGCUAACUACGUGCCAGCAGCCGCGGUAAUACGUAGGGUGCAAGCGUUAAUCGGAAUUACUGGGCGUAAAGCGUGCGCAGGCGGUUUUGUAAGUCUGAUGUGAAAUCCCCGGGCUCAACCUGGGAAUUGCAUUGGAGACUGCAAGGCUAGAAUCUGGCAGAGGGGGGUAGAAUUCCACGUGUAGCAGUGAAAUGCGUAGAUAUGUGGAGGAACACCGAUGGCGAAGGCAGCCCCCUGGGUCAAGAUUGACGCUCAUGCACGAAAGCGUGGGGAGCAAACAGGAUUAGAAACCCGAGUAGUCCCAUG
rnacentral:rRNA from 1 species